AACAAGAAUCCCAUUACACACCUGAAAGGCACUGCCCACUCAGCACUCCACGCCCCGCCCCCUCACUCUCCUCAACUUAAGACAGGAGCCAAGAAACAAAAUAGCCUCUAGAAGGAAGACAAACGACCACCAAUCCCUCUGUCUCUCUGAAAGAAGCUAGAGAAAGGGAAGGAAGACGUGGAGGAUGUAAAGGAGGAGGGGUGUGUUGGUGUUGAAGCUGCUCACCCUCCAUGCGCCCCAAUGAUGCGUCUCUUCUCUCUGCUCUCCACCCCUCCUCUCCCUGCCUGCCCCUUCCUCCUAUCACGAGCGGCAGCCCAUGCUUCGCCACCAUCUUAGAGCACGCUGGCAUGAAAUGGAAGAGGGAGGAGGAACGAGCAGGUGUUGGUGGAAUAACAUAGAAGAUGUGAAUGAAUGAUAUGCAAACAUGGAUGACAAAUCAGUAUCUGCUGAUGAAGCACUUCGACUGGACUUCGACUGCACCCUUUUACUGUGUGCCCCAACAUUUUGACAUUACAGCACUUUAAAAGGAUACUUUUUGUUAUUCUUGUGCCCAAUCAAUAUUUUAGCAUUAAUUUUCUUUUUUUUCAUUUUUGUAAAAGUCUUUAUGAUCCAACAUUCUAACGUUAGCUAUGCAUACUCCAUCUGCAGUACAGGACAAAUAUUGAUCAGUAAAAUACAGGAAAAAAAGGAAUGACUAGUUCACUCCGGUGAACCAGUGUAAACAGUUAAUCUACCAGCAUUUGCACUUCCAAUCAUAGCAUUUUGUUUUUUAGAUGCACUGGAAAUUUAUGGACCUGGGUUGGAAUGAAAAUCAAAUAUAAUACUACAUGUAGUUGGAUCUUAGUACCAGUAGAUCCUCUGGGGAUUAAAUGAGAAAGUCACCAUAAUGUAUAACUGUCUAGGAUUCUAAUGUGAAUUCAUCUCACAUUAUUUUUAGAGAGAACUUUAUAGGUCAAACACUCAAGUGUGUUUCAGAUAAAAAGAAAGAUCUUUUAAAAUGUAUUUAACCCAGGUCAAGACAAUCAGCCAGUCUAAUCUUCCUAUACAGACUCUUAUGAGCAAAUUCAAUCUUUAGCAUAGAGCACUUUACACAUUCAUAUAAGCGUUUUCUCUCUUUUCCUUUCUCUUUUGUUUUGUUUGAUGUUACAUGCAAAGCACUAUGAUAGAAAUGACACCACUAUGCUCUGGGCAUAACAUCAUUGUAUCCCUCUGUUAUAGCUGAUCAUGAAGUCAUAUUUAAAGUGGAUGGCUAAACAAUAAUUUCCACACACCAUAGUCUGCUCUACGGAUGAUUUAGAGCUCGCGAAUUGAGUGUAUGAAUGUGAGACCCACGGCCGGCAGCAGUGAAGGGUACUGCACUGUGAUUGAACAGCUCUGUGUGUUGACAGUUACACAUUUGGUGUAGAGAGAGCUGUUGUCUUUAUUCUCUAUGCAAUUGCGUCAGACUUGCAAUCAACAAGCAGCAGUGUAGGAUCGGUGCUAAACAGCUAGAAUCUCCACUAUUCAAAUGACACAACCAUAUUGUAGGCAAAUAUAAUGAUACAGCAUUAAUAUUAGACAGAGGAAAUAUCUUUACAUGGAUAAAAUGGAGUUACAGAGUGGAUUUCAUUAUUAUUAUUAUUUUUAUUUUUAUUAUUAUUUUAUUAUUUUUUUAUUUAAUUAACUAAGUUGAACAAUCAUCAGAAUGAAAAUCACUUGCACUAUGAGAGAUACAUCUUUAUUAUUAGAAUUUAACAUGCUUAGCAAAUGACUAAUCAGUGAACACUAACUUUGUUUUCUUUUUUAGUUUUGCUUUUUGGUUGAGACUAACACUUUAUUUCUUUGUAUCCAUUCAUUUCUUCUCUUUUUUAUCAUUUAAACACUGUUUAGUAGUUUUUGAGAGCUUUGUUUCAUUAACAAGCUUGGGCAGAGGCAAAUAUAUAUAUAUUAAUUGUCUGCAAAUUUUUUAGCAUUUUAUUAGGAAUUGUGAGAGUUGUGCAAUCUGUUUUUGAGACCCACUUUUGUUGUCAUGGACAUUGAUGUCCUUAAAAUUGUUUUGAAGGCAAUCAGCAUUUCAGUUAAGCUUGUAUAACUAAUGCAGGUGACUAAUAAUUUUAAUAUAAAUGUAGAAAUAGAACUAUCAGUACAAUGAAUGAAGAGUAUUUACUAUGCAAUUUAUGUAAAUCUGGAUAAUGUAUGCAGUUUUUAAGAGUUUAUUUUUGACUGUUUGCACUAUGUUGAAAAAUAUGUGUGAAAAAAUUAUCUAUGCAAAUAUGUUUCUGUCCUCUUGCUGGUGUGAAAAGUAGGCUAUAUUUCUGUUCAUUAAGACUGAUGUGAUUAACUUGCUCCCACAGGCUACCGUUUGUGCCUUAAACUAUUUUGUCCUGUUAUGGAUACUAAUAAAAGGUUUACAUUGAAAA